rnacentral:rRNA from 1 species
GGAAUUUUCCGCAAUGGGGGAAACCCUGAUGGAGCAAUACCGCGUGGAGGGAUGACGGUCGAAAGAUUGUAAACCCCUUUUCUGAGGGAAGAACUCUGACGGUACCUCAGGAAUAAGCACCGGCUAACUCCGUGCCAGCAGCCGCGGUAAUACGGAGGGUGCAAGCGUUAUCCGGAAUUAUUGGGCGUAAAGCGUCCGCAGGCGGUUUUUUAAGUCAGAUAUUAAAUCUUGGAGCCCAACUUCAAGGCUGUAUCUGAAGCUGAAAAACUAGAGUCUUUCAGGGGUAUGCGGAAUUCUGUGUGUAGGGGUAAAAUCCGUAGAUAUACAGAGGAACACCAAAAGCGAAGGCAGCAUACUGGGAAAGUACUGACGCUCAUGGACGAAAGCGUAGGUAGCGAACGGGAUUAGAUACCCCAGUAGUC